AGAUAGAUUUAGCUGGUGGUGCAGAGAUCUGUGAGCUUGCUUUUACAGGACUUUAAUGAUAUAUAAAAGCAGCAUGAAGGGCUCCUGACUGUGGAUUAAUUUGGAGAUGACUUUCUCUGUUGAAGAGUGGCAAGACUCUUGCAAGUUCUUAAAAAUGCACUUGUUUGGUAUGAGAAUGAAAAGCAGUGGCUGAAGAACCAGUCUUCAAUGGGCAAGGCUUCUCUGUGUCUGUUCUAACAUGUCAUCUGGGAUCCCUUGGAAUCUUCAUGUACAGAACCGGUUGCUGCCUCAUUGAGUUGGUGGGGACAGAAUAGCUCCUGGUUGGCAGCAUGGGUUGUGCAGAAGGACAGACCCUGCAGACAUCAAUAUCUGGCUUUGAGUGGCACAAAGAAAUAAAGGAAUGUGGAUUCAGACCUCACUGGGAUGCUUGGCAAUUCUAAUUCUACGCCAGACUGCAAAUGGACACAAAACUGUUGCGACUUUUGUUGAAGAGGAGAAGGAUGGUGAAGGUCUCUUUAGUAAAUAAUCUCUGCUGAAAUUGCUUCGGGCAGCACAGAAGCUGGAUUCAGAAGCACACAGGUCUGGGGAUGCAGGCUUCGGCCACCCUGAUGCGAGGAAAGACUGCCAUCUCGUGGUCAGCUCGAUCCUGGCACCUUGGUGAGGGUCCAGGCUGCAGAAAACCGGGCUUGGGGAGGAAAUGGUGCUGCAAACUGGAUUUCUGCGGGACAAUGUGGAUGCCUUUAGAAAACACCCAGAAAAGAGCUGAGUGCCACCCAAGAUAGGCUUCAGUGAAUCCUCUGCAGGUGUGUUGUCAUCCCCUAAGCCAAACACACACUUCACACACACGCUGUAGGCUGCGUGAAAAUGAGGUAGAAAUGUGGGGAAAACAUAAUCCCGUGGAGAGAACAAACAGCUGAACAUGUAAAUGCCUCCGGCAUGCCUGGCAGAGAGAACACUCAGGCUGAGAAAAGGGGACAGUAACUUGUGCCAAAGAUAAGGGAGUAGCCUCUGGGGAAUCAAUCAGCAGGGCGUCUGGUCAACCCCUCAGACAAAGUCAGGUCUGAGCAGGCAAGAUCUAUGGAUCUGAUUUAUUAAUAUUUUCACAAUUAAAAAGAAUCUGAUUGUAAAACUGUUACAUGUGUUGUGAGAAAAAAAGAAAAAA
rnacentral:lncRNA from 1 species